CAACGCUACGAAGACUAGAGAUACUUUUCUCACUGUUCGCAUCCACGACCGAAAAGUAGUGGGUUCCAUAUGAAAG
rnacentral:lncRNA from 1 species